UGUUUACCAGUGUAGUUGGUUAACCCUUACGUCGGAAGCACCAUUUUUUUUUCUCCCACUUAAAAAAGGGCUUUCUGGUAGCGACAUAAACUACGUUUGAAUGGGCUGGGUUGGCUUGUUUGCUGUAAAGCUGUCAGUUUGGAGUGGAGCCCAGAGCAAGAAGAAUCUCUGCAGCUGGUCCAAGCUGAAGUUAAAGCUACUCUGCUCCCCAGGCUUCCUGACUGGGAAGGUCCAGUGACACCCAGGAUGUCUCUGUGGCAAGUAGAGACAUUGCACACAGCCCCUGGUGGCCCCCGAGAGGAGACUCUCAGGGUUUUGGAAAUAAAUCCUUUCCCUCUUUGAGAAAUAGCUGCUGCUCCUGACUUGCUACCAGUCCCUGGUGGACGUGAACCUGGCAAGGAUGCGCCAAGUGAAUAUUUGACCAGAACUGUCCUUUGGAUCCUUUGAUGUUUUAUCAGAAAGUUGUUUGUUCAAAAGUAUCCACCAUCCAGCGACAGCGGGAUAAGGACUCGGGAGGUGACCGAAGGCACAUGUAUAUACCCCGUGCCUCUGACUAUGUUGGCAUGUACUUCUGCGGCUCCAGUCUCUUACCCUCAAUCCACACCUGGUCCCCUGGGGAGUUCCCUUUGAUCGACUGACUGAAAAGGCAAGCGUGUCAGCGUGGUUCACUGGCAGGUUUGCAGGAUAGGCUGGUACUGGCAGGAACUGGGCUAUUGCAGCGGGGCCGUCCCCCUCCGAGGUGGCCCAGGGCCUUGUGGAAGGCAAAUCUUCCCAAAAGGAGGACUGCAAACAGUGCGUCUGAUUCUUUGCUUUGCUUGGAAGGAGAAAGGGCCAGAGACAUGGAUGGAGGGGAAUUAAUGCGUAGUGACCAGCACCUUGGCCAGAAGUUCAGCAGGAAUAUUGGAGGACUGGUGGAACGCAGAUCUGGGACAGGGUUUGUGCGCAGACGUCUAGACUAGUGACGACCAUGAGACUCCUCGGUUACAGGGGAGGAGCGCUGUCCAUGGUCAGCAGACAGGACGACGCAGACUCAGACAGCUUCUCCUCACCAGCUCAGAGCUGCUCGCGGGGCUCACGAACAAAGUGGCAGCAAUGCAAUGAUUUCAGGAACGUGGGCUUCCCCUCACCAACGGUGAUCUGAUGGCUGCCAAGGGAGGGAUUCAACCUGGUCGUCCUUCUGAGAUUGAAUGGAGAUCAUCCCAAGACAGAGACAGUGAUUGAUAGAACUCUGGGGAGACGGUGAGGCACGCAAGCCCUCAGUACAGAACCUCCCCCCAGAUGGGCCAGCCAGCUCCCCGGGGCAGCGGACAGCUUUGGACCCCUUCCCCACCAGAGUCGACUCUUACUCUGUGUGUGGACCUGCCUUCCCUGGCUCUGGUUCUUCUGCAAGCUCUACCAUCCGUGAACUUCCCAUCGUAAUAGCCAUCGAGCUUCCUGUAUGCCAUCCUUCAUGACUAAAGAACCCUUUUUUUUGGGGGGCAAAUGAAGUGGAGCAGUGGGCUUAUGCCUACACUGCUCAUUGGUUUUACGUGGAAUUCCCUUAAAUGCCCUCCAACCUACGUGCGGGGAGGUCUCCAGUGUCCCGGCAUUGUUGGCCUUACAGCUUCGUUGUUCAAAGGAGUAACAGUGUAGGAAUGAAGUCAUUGAUUUGAUUUUUGUUAUUUAGUGGUCUGACUGGUUUGUAAGUAGUUAUUUCCCUUUCCAUUUGACUUACUAUUUUUCUCUUACAGUUAUGCCCUUAAAAUGAGGUAUAAAAAUCCAGCAUUAACCGAGUCAGUGUUGAUUGUUAUUUUAAGGAUUGUUUUAAUGUGGGGCUCAACAUGAGAAUAUUACAUAAGCCAGCAUCAGUGAUUUUCACUGACAUUUACGAAGGAGGUUAGUUCUUUAAUCAAAUAAGGAUAUUAAGAGCUGGACUUAAAAUCCCAUUUAGAUUCUGAUUUUGUUUAGGGUGUUUUUUCAGGCCAAAUAACUUUAUGUAUUUUUAAGGAUUCUAAAUCAACAACCAGAUAUUAGAGACGGAAACUUUUUCAAAUGCCUUGUCAAAAGUCUUUAAGAUUAUUUAUGGAAAUAUUUAGCAAUGUGGUUUUAGGACUUUGGUCAAUUCUGUAUUGCUUUGAUUACAUUUAAAAAAGACUUAGUGUCAAAACAUGACUGGCUAAAAAUUUAAGCAAAAGCAUACUUGGAGUAAGAGAGAACUUGUAUUACAAUAACUGAAAUUUUUUUUAUGAGAUGUCUUCGGUAAAAAUGCAUAGAUCAUCAGAGAACAAUGUCGGCCAGAUAAAGACAUACUAUUAAUAUAAACAGUUAAAUGUUCUGACCUAAACGUGGUACACUCAGGAUAAAAUUAGAGUCGAAAGUUAAACAAAAUAGAGCAAGUAACUUAAAAAAUAUGUAACCUAGGGGUUAACAUAAGCUAUUCUGAAAUGAACAUAUGAAAUGCACAAAAUGGGCAAGCUAAAGGUGAGUGUUACAGGCAUCUGAAAAAUUUAUUUUGCUUCUCCCGAAGGAAAAAAAAAAAACAUAGUUCAGUAUAAUCUUUGCCAUAAUUGGAAAUAAAGCUUGAAGGGCAAAAGCGUAGUGGCUCUAAUGCAGAAAACUUACACCUGUGCCUUUUCAUCAUCUGAGCUAACAAUAUAUAAUCCGGCAAAAAAGCUGUGUGAGCUUUGUCACUGACCAAAGCAGGACAAUUUUCCUGGCACGGGAAGCGGUCGAAUGGAUGCUAAAAGCCUCGGCAUUCCCGGACCUGGGAGCCAGGAGGAUUUGAAUCAAGCCCCAGGACUUUCAGCGAUGAUAUGACUUUGAGUGAAUAGUUCACCUUCCUGAGCCUUGGUUUCCUUGCAUGGGAGGCAGGGAGGAUGACCUGUGUGCAGACACCCUGAAUUAUGAGAACCAAAUGGAAACCCUGGCACAUGCUGUUGAAAUCAAUCAAUGAAUGAAGAUAUAUAAAAGGCGUUUUGUAGAUUACAAAGCCCCAGAUGCGAGUGGCUUAUGACUUGUUCUAGCCCAAGCUUACAAUCUGAUCUGAGAAACACUUUUUUUUUUUAAUUUAAAGAAGAAUGCCUGGCUAGAGUAUUUUUUCUGUUUGGAUGCAGGCUGUUUUCCACAUAAAUGUAUGCAGCAGCAGGAAGUUAGGCUGGCUGUCACCUACUGGAUGGCAUUUGUUGAGUUGACAUCAUUUUCUCUAAAAAAGUGGUGCCUCGUGACCAACCUUCAAGAUUCGCCACAGGGACGGUCCAGGCAUUGGCUUGACACCCAGCUCGGCUAAAGAGGAUUAUCUCCAAAGAGUUUGCCUUUAGCUACUGAGAAGACGUUUGCUUGCUUCCGUUAUGUACUGGACUGUAGGGACAACUUAAACUUAAGGCUCGCCAGUGGAUACAGAGCUUGCUUACGAAUGAAACCGGCCAAGAAGGCAGAGCUGCAUGGGACAGAGAAGGACUGCAGACUUGUCAUCUUGUGGGAACGUCUGGAUCUGGCCAUGCCGGAAACGGCUGUGCAGUUACAGGUGACGCCAAUGCUGCUUUGCUUAAAUGAGUUGGAGCUGCGUCUGUGUGGCUGGCUAUCUAAGGAGUACUGAGCAGCUCAAUGUGACACAGCGGAAUUUAAAUUUACAAACAGAUGAAUUUGGGGGUAGGACUGCCAUAAAAGAAUUCACUUCACUAAAUACUUGGUUUGAUUGUAUUUAAUGUUUAAUUCAUUUUUAAAAUAUUUGAUUGGCAGAUAUACUUUCAGGGACACACGUAAAACUUAAAGUGAAGGAAAUUUGGUGGAGUGCUUGCUCUUAGCCUGACUGUUUCUCGGCUAGCAUGGUGCUGUGGGCAAGUGACUUAACCUCUCAGUGAUUUAUGUGCCUCAUCUGAGAAGUGUAGGGGGCAACAGUAACGAACUCACACGGUGAUGGUGUGCAGGCGUGGAGCUAGGACAGCGGUCUGGUACCUGGAUGAGAGUUAGCGCUUGUCGAUAAGAAAUAAAUGGUUGCUAAUUCAUUAUUUUUUUCUAUCACAUUUAAAAUUAAUUGAAUAUAAUCAUUUUUAGGCAUUUUAGAUAAGAACAUGAAGCAUCACAAAAAUGUAAGCAAAUAUAUAAAACACUGAAGCAUAUGCAGGAAAGUAGAGCUCAGUGGUGGAGAACCUGCUUAGCAUGCACGAGGUCCUCCAUUAAAAUAAAUAAAUAAACCUAAUCACACCCCCCACUCCAAAAAACAAAACAAAACACUUAAGCAUAAAAAAGUUAGAAGCAGUUAUGUAAAUAAGAAGUAAGCUUGGGGCAAAGGCUGAAAAGCUAUAAUAUACAAAAGAUAAAACAUUCCUUUUACAUGUGGUCCAGGUGAUGGCUAAUUUUCGCUCACUGGAAAAUGUCAUUUAUGAUAUCAAUUUUCCAUAAAAAGAUAAAUAUACAUAAUGCAGGGAUAUGUUUCAGAGAGUGGGUUUCAAAGUCUUGCUUAGAGUAAAUAUUGCUGCUUGAUAAAAAUAAACCAUUGCAUCAUCAACGGCUCAGGAACCGCACAGUACUUCCCUGCCUUGCUUUCUAAAAGGAAACCAAAGGCUAGAAUUGGGUCAUAUAACCAGUGUGAAAAUAGAGGGUAUUUUAAUUAAGAUUCAAGUUGACUUUUUAAAGUGUUGUUCAAAUCAAAUGCUACCCUGUGUCAAUUGCUUCCAGCUGCCGAAUAGGUUUGUAAAGUUAGAGGGCAUUACAACACCGUUGUCUGCAACACAUCUCAGUUUCACUUUUAAAAUGUAGAAGAUAAAUCCCCAAGUGCAUAAAAGUGUAUUGCAGUAACCAUACGUGAUGAACAAAGAGCAACAACAAUAAGCACCAGGUAUUCAGCGCCCCAUCCCUGCAGGGGUAGGUGUGGAACGAAGGCGAACGUCUGUGUAAACGUUCAGAGGCAAAUUAACAGUUACGUCCAAUGUGAAUCUUGGACUUUUCCAUUUUUUUUCAUAGACAAUUUUGCAUCUGUUGAGUAUAUGCUGAUGGUUUCUUUCUUUCUUUCUUUCUUUCUUUCUUUCUUUCUUUCUUUCUUUCUUUCUUUCUUUCUUUCUUUCUUUCUUUCUUUCUUUCUUUUUUUUACAGGUCAUUUUCCUGGAAAAAAUACGGGGAUGUAAUAUUUCAACUAAGAAAUGUGACAUUUUAAGGCACGCCAAUAGCCAUUUUUGUGGAAUCUCAUUGAAUCUUCUGCAUAUGAAUGAGGGAAAAAAAUAGUAGAACUGUUCGGUGGUCAAACGUUCCCCGUCCUACCUCAUUCUGUAAAUUCUUCAGGUCGAAAGCAAAACUGAAUGGCGUUUGGAAACAAGUGUACGCAUAGGAAAGUAGCUUCCAGAAUCUAGUGGUCUCGGAUCGGAUUGGGAAGAAAGAAGGUUCAUUGCUGGCCAGUCGCUUAUUCCCCGUUUUUCAUUUCUGUUUGUAAUUCCUGUCAUCUUUGUUUCUUAUGCUUUGGCUAAAAAGGGCUAGUCAUAUUUAUUGGAACUGGGUUUCAAUAAACAUUACGCAUUAUGGCGAA